rnacentral:snRNA from 1 species
UAAAAGGGUUGAUUCUCAAUGCGAGACGUAGGAUCAUGAUAGCAUAAAAAGCGGUGAUCCUAUGCUGAAUGGUGAUCAAGACAUUUGGACAACAUAAUUUAUUGGGGUGUUGGAAGGAUGUCUACUUGAGUUCUGUCCUUCCAG